CUUCCUGCUGCAGUAAGAGAUGAACAUUCCCUUUGGAGAGACACACUAGGUCACUACAAAUGGGCCACUGAAGAACCUGGCACUGGCCGCUAUCACUGGCCCCAGCUGCAGUGCUGCUUGCUGUUCACAGAUUAAGACCCUGGGGCUUGGAGACAGCAAGUGACUGUCCCAAGAUCACUCAGCUGAUAAGUGAUGGAGCCAGGAUUCCAGCCUAGACUGUCUGACUGCAAGGGGCUUGAACUUUUCACCGUAACGCAGAUUGUGAAUUCCAUGAAAGCAGGGACUGUGCUUUCUGAGUCUCUAGCCAAGCACCUGCCACAUGGGCUGGAAGAAAAUGUGGAAGAUUCCUCUCUUGGUGCUGAAGGCUUGAGUGGAAUUUGCAGAAGCCCAUUCCGGGAGCUCUAACUAGCUCUUUGGCUGCAGUCAAUGGCGUGAUCUCCGCUCACUGCAGCCUUGACCUCCUGGGCUCAAGCAAUCCUACCACCUCAGCCCCUCAAGUAGCUAGGACUACAGGUG
rnacentral:lncRNA from 10 species